rnacentral:rRNA from 1 species
AGUGAACGCUGGCGGUAGGCCUAACACAUGCAAGUCGAACGGCAGCACAGUAAGAGCUUGCUCUUACGGGUGGCGAGUGGCGGACGGGUGAGGAAUACAUCGGAAUCUACUUUUUCGUGGGGGAUAACGUAGGGAAACUUACGCUAAUACCGCAUACGACCUACGGGUGAAAGCAGGGGAUCUUCGGACCUUGCGCGAUUGAAUGAGCCGAUGUCGGAUUAGCUAGUUGGCGGGGUAAAGGCCCACCAAGGCGACGAUCCGUAGCUGGUCUGAGAGGAUGAUCAGCCACAGUGGAACUGAGACACGGUCCAGACUCCUACGGGAGGCAGCAGUGGGGAAUAUUGGACAAUGGGCGCAAGCCUGAUCCAGCCAUACCGCGUGGGUGAAGAAGGCCUUCGAGUUGUAAAGCCCUUUUGUUGGGAAAGAAAAGCAGCAGGUUAAUACCCCGCUGUUCUGACGGUACCCAAAGAAUAAGCACCGGCUAACUUCGUG